GAUGAACGCUGGCGGCGUGCCUAAUACAUGCAAGUCGAACGAAACUUCUUUAUCACCGAGUGCUUGCACUCACCGAUAAAGAGUUGAGUGGCGAACGGGUGAGUAACACGUGGGCAACCUGCCCAAAAGAGGGGGAUAACACUUGGAAACAGGUGCUAAUACCGCAUAACCAUAGUUACCGCAUGGUAACUAUGUAAAAGGUGGCUAUACUACCGCUUUUGGAUGGGCCCGCGGCGCAUUAGCUAGUUGGUAGGGUAAAGGCUUACCAAGGCAAUGAUGCGUAGCCGAAUUGAGAGGUUGAUCGGCCACAUUGGGACUGGGACACGGCCCAAACUCCUACGGGAGGCAGCAGUAGGGAAUCUUCCACAAUGGGCGAAAGCCUGAUGGAGCAACGCCGCGUGGGUGAAGAAGGUCUUCGGAUCGUAAAACCCUGUUGUUAGAGAAGAAAGUGCGUGAGAGUAACUGUUCACGUUUCGACGGUAUCUAACCAGAAAGCCACGGCUAACUACGUG
rnacentral:rRNA from 1 species